UGCGGUAACGUCUGCAGUCGAGCGGAGAGGCCCUUCGGGGUACUCGAGCGGCGAACGGGUGAGUAACACGUGAGUAACCUGCCUCAGGCUUUGGGAUAACCCCGGGAAACCGGGGCUAAUACCGGAUAUGACCUUCGGCCGCAUGGUUGGGGGUGGAAAGUUUUUUCGGCCUGGGAUGGGCUCGCGGCCUAUCAGCUUGUUGGUGGGGUGAUGGCCUACCAAGGCGACGACGGGUAGCCGGCCUGAGAGGGCGACCGGCCACACUGGGACUGAGACACGGCCCAGACUCCUACGGGAGGCAGCAGUGGGGAAUAUUGCACAAUGGGCGGAAGCCUGAUGCAGCGACGCCGCGUGAGGGAUGACGGCCUUCGGGUUGUAAACCUCUUUCAGCAGGGACGAAGCGCAAGUGACGGUACCUGCAGAAGAAGCGCCGGCCAACUACGUGCCAGCAGCCGCGGUAAGACGUAGGGCGCGAGCGUUGUCCGGAUUUAUUGGGCGUAAAGAGCUCGUAGGCGGCUUGUCGCGUCGACUGUGAAAACCCACAGCUCAACUGUGGGCUUGCAGCCGAUACGGGCAGGCUAGAGUUCGGUAGGGGAGACUGGAAUUCCUGGUGUAGCGGUGAAAUGCGCAGAUAUCAGGAGGAACACCGGUGGCGAAGGCGGGUCUCUGGGCCGAUACUGACGCUGAGGAGCGAAAGCGUGGGGAGCGAACAGGAUUAGAUACCCUGGUAGUCCACGCUGUAAACGUUGGGCGCUAGGUGUGGGGGGCCUCUCCGGUUCUCUGUGCCGCAGCUAACGCAUUAAGCGCCCCGCCUGGGGAGUACGGCCGCAAGGCUAAAACUCAAGGAAUUGACGGGGGCCCGCACAAGCGGCGGAGCAUGCGGAUUAAUUCGAUGCAACGCGAAGAACCUUACCUGGGUUUGACAUGGCCGCAAACCUGCAGAGAUGUGGGGUCCUUCGGGGGCGGUCACAGGUGGUGCAUGGCUG
rnacentral:rRNA from 1 species